UCAUUGGAAUCAAUGGAGCUUGUUUUUGGCACACAUUCUGCUCCAUGUUUGCUUUUUAAAAGGUCCAAAACCCUCUGAAACAGGCGCUGUUUCCCCUCAGCUGCGGCUGAUCGGCACCCGGCCAGACCUGGUGUCAAUCAGCCCGCUCCUAUUUUUUACCUGCUUAGUCUUCCAGUCAGGGCUGGAUUAUUGUCGUUGCUACCUGUCGUGUCAAUGCAGCGUUGUGCGUGUGUGAUUCUUAAUGAAGUCGUCAAGGAAACACAAUCCUUCAUCGCCCCUGACCCACUCCUGGCUGGAUGGACCCGCCCGUAAAGACGCCUUUCUAAAAAAAAAAGGGGAAAAAA